GAAGGUAUAGCUCAAUGGUAGAGUGCAUGCCCAGCAGGCACGAGGUCCUAGGUUCAAUCCCCAGUACCUCCA
rfam:Camelus ferus unplaced genomic scaffold scaffold200, whole genome shotgun sequence.